CCCUAGGGGGGCAGCAGUGGGGAAUAUUGGGCAAUGGAGGCAACUCUGACCCAGCAACGCCGCGUGAAUGAUGAAGGUCUUCGGAUUGUAAAGUUCUGUGAUGGGGGAUGAACACAAUGACGGUACCCCAAUAGCAAGCCACGGCUAACUACGUGCCAGCAGCCGCGGUAAUACGUAGGUGGCAAGCGUUAUCCGGAUUUAUUGGGCGUAAAGGGCUCGUAGGCGGUUCGUCGCGUCCGGUGUGAAAGUCCAUCGCUUAACGGGGGAUCCGCGCCGGGUACGGGCGGGCUUGAGGGCGGUAGGUG
rnacentral:rRNA from 1 species